UGAGGAGGCAUAGGGAGGAGAC
rnacentral:misc_RNA from 1 species